GAGUCGUAGAUUCUGUUCCUAUUCUCCCCGCGGCGGUGAGCUGGGCGCGGUCUGCAGGGAUCGAACUGGCGGCGCAGCUGGAGAGCGGAGCCCGGGAGCCGCUGGGGCGGCUCGAGUGGGCGGACGCGGAGCUUAGACUGAGGCCCCGCGCUCAAGAGAGGCGGAGGAGGCUCCGGAGGCGGGGCUGGCGGAGUGCAAGCCAUGAGCUCGCGUUCAUCCCAGCGCCGCGCUGCCGAAGCGGGCCCAGGCGACGGCGGCCUGGGCGCGGGUUCCCAGGCGCUGUCCGGCGACCAGAUGCGUCGGAGGAAACAGCCAGGUCAUCCUCAGCGGCCACCGCGGGGUGGGAAAGACCGGCCUGAUGGAGCGUUUCAGGGACGACACCUUCUGCGAGGCCACCGUGGUGCUGGGGAUUGAACCCAGGGCCUUGUGCUUAUGAGAUCAUGUGAUCACAAGAAAAGGGGAAAGAUAGUCAAUAAGGAAAAGGAGAACCCUCAUUCAGGAUGAAACAAUUAAAAGUGUUGAUUUUAAAAUCAAAACCGUAGCGCUAAGAGGAAAGAAAAUUCGAUUACAGAUCUGUGAAAAUUCAAGUUCAUGGAGAUAAAGAACAAAUAUUAAGAUUGUCUAUCUUCACAGAAUGAAAGCUGCCCAAGAUGCUGAAAGGAAAAAAGGCCAAGGGGAAGAAGGUAGCCCUGGCCCCCACUGUGGUCAAGAAGCAGGAAGCCAAGAAGCUGGUGAACCCUUUGUUCAAGAAGAGGCAUAGAACUUUGGCACUGGCAGGAGUUGUAGCCCAAAAGGGACCUUACCCACUUUGUAAAAUGACCCCAGUACAUCUGCCUGCAGCAUCAAAGGGCUGUUCUCUAUAAGAGGCUGAAAGUGCCUCUGCAAUUAACCAGUUCAGCCAGGACGUGGAUUUCCAAACAACCACCCAGCUGCUUAAGCUUACCCACAAGACCAGAGAUGAAACAGAAGCAGCAGAGGCUGUUGACCUGGACUGAGAAGAAGGCUGCUGGCAAAGGGAAUGUCCCCAUGAAGAGACCACUGGUCUCAAACUAGAGCAAUAACUAAUAAAAUAAAAUAAUU